rnacentral:rRNA from 12 species
UCAAAGAUUAAGCCAUGCAUGUCUAAGUAUAAGCAAUUAUACCGUGAAACUGCGAAUGGCUCAUUAAAUCAGUUAUCGUUUAUUUGAUAGUACCUUACUACUUGGAUAACCGUGGUAAUUCUAGAGCUAAUACAUGCCGAAAAAUCUCGACUUCUGGAAGAGAUGUAUUUAUUAGAUCCAAAACCAAUGGCCUUCGGGUCUCCUUGGUGAAUCAUGAUAACUGCUCGAAUCGCA